UAGAGGAAGCACCUCAUGAGGGCCAGGGAGCAAAGGGAGAGGCUGGGCCCCAAUUUACCCUUCAAGGGCAGGCCCCGGUGGCCUCACUUCUUCCCACUAGGCCCCACCUCCUAAAGGCUCCAUCUCUCAAUUGUACCAGCAGGGCAGUUAUUCCCACUGUGGGGGAGGCACUCAGUGCCCACCAAGGGGUAAUGGCUCCCACUUGAGGGUCAUCCGUUCUGUGAGGCUCCCUGUUGCUUGAGGGAGCAUGAAGAUAGCCUUUUCAUAAAAAUAGCCAGACCUGUCAUUCCUGGAAUCAAAGGAGAUCCCAGUCCAGCAGCCUCCUGAGUGGCGCCAUUGUAAGUCAAGAGCUCUGCCCUGCAAACGCAGAUACCAGGACCUCCAAAGACUGGAAUUAUUUUGGGACUCAGUCACCCCCUCCACCGGGGGAGCCCUAGCUCUUCCUACAACAAACUGCUGGUUAGCAGCACCUCUUUCAGAUCCCUCAGGCUAAGCCCUCAUGUGCCCCCCACCACCUCCCCACUUCUAGGCAGGUUUUGGCUCUGGAGGUUUGGGCUCAAGUUUUUGACUCAAGCACCUUUCUCUGCUUAAGUCUGCUUUCCCCUGCCUGCCAAACAUACCGCCAUCCUCUCCGCUCAGCCCCUGGCUCCCACCGUGGCUCCUGCCUCACAGGGAGGCUGCUGAAAACCUGCCACGGGCCCCUCCUGGCCUCUGUCCAACCAAGGGGGCAGUGGGCAGUGUCCGUCUCUUCCUGGAGGAGCUGAGGGUGGCCAAAAGCGACCUGGCUAAGCCUAACAACCCUCACCCUCACGGUAGUCCUCUCCCGCUCUGAGAGGCCAUGAUGGCAGCCAGCUGCGCCCAUGGCCAGAGCUGCACCCCGCGGAGGGGAAGAGGAAGCUGGGACCUGACGUGCGAGCAGAACAACAGAAGAAGCCGAGCACAUCCGUGGGGGACCGGAAGUCACAUGAGGUGCCACCUCUUAAAGCUUCCACCAGAGACCGGGGACCUCGCCUUCAAACCACGAUCCUUCUGGGGACAUCACGGAUGAUCCAAACAUGGCUGGGGAGCUGUAAGGGAAGGGGUAGUGGGCAUUUGCAUCUGACGCAUAUAAGGGGGUAUGGGAAGACCUCAUCCUCGGGGCACAAGGAGGUUGCCGGCUGAGGACAGUGUGGUGUGGCCAGGAGUGGACGAACCAACCCUGCAGCUGGCAGGGCCCAGCAAGAUCCCGGGCGUGGAGCCCAUGCCUGAAAAUCAGCUCAUCCAGCAACAGUUCCGCGUGUGCAGACGUGAGCCUAUCUCCCUUCUGAACUCUGACUGGAAACGGUGCACAAGUGUAUUGUGGCUGACCUUUUCCCUCCCUGCCUUUCUGUUUUCAUCCCCUGCUUUCCUGGUUCAGUUGGGCCUGCUCGGAAACGCUGAAAGCCCUACCCACCUUGUCAUGAUGAACUCGUUAACAUGCGCCCCCUUCCACAUCAAAUGCAACUUUGUAGUACUUUGUA